rnacentral:lncRNA from 1 species
AUGAAGCCUAUGGUUGACAGUAGCGGUGGCGGCGGCCCGUCGUUCUCUGGCCAUUCACUGUCGUCGCCCGACGCCGAAAGCGCGAAGCCCGAGCCUCCGCACGACAGCGGCGCAAGGGCGUCGUUGGAGCAAGUCACUGUCGACCACACCAAGCCGCCCGACUCUGGAAGCGCGAAGCCGGUCACCGUCGACCACAAGUCGGCAACGUCCGAUUCUUCUACCGGCACGGAGUCUGACGGUGGAGGCGAGCCAUCGUCGGCGUCAUCCUCGCUGCCGGCGGCGGCGCACCCGUUCGCGCGCGCGCUCGCGGUGGUGGACGGUGUUGCCUCCGUCGCCGUAUCCUCGGAUGAACUUGCAACGAACGAAGAAGGGUCGAAGAUUGAUGGAGAACAGAAACCACCUGUCCCGACAAAUUUUGCAAAGUUUGUUGGUCGAUCUGUGACGUCUGGGUUAGAUGAUGCAAGCAUG